GUGGGGAAUAUUGGACAAUGGGCGCAAGCCUGAUCCAGCAAUGCCGCGUGGGUGAAGAAGGUCUUCGGAUCGUAAAGCCCUUUCGACAGGGACGAUGAUGACGGUACCUGUAGAAGAAGCCCCGGCUAACUUCGUGCCAGCAGCCGCGGUAAUACGAAGGGGGCUAGCGUUACUCGGAAUUACUGGGCGUAAAGGGCGCGUAGGCGGCUCUGUUAGUCAGGCGUGAAAUUCCUGGGCUUAACCUGGGGACUGCGCUUGAUACUGCAGGGCUUGAGGCCGAGAGAGGGUGGUGGAAUUCCCAGUGUAGAGGUGAAAUUCGUAGAUAUUGGGAAGAACACCGGUGGCAAAGGCGACCACCUGGCUCGGUUCUGACGCUGAGGCGCGACAGCGUGGGGAGCAAACAGGAUUAGAAACCCCGGUAGUCC
rnacentral:rRNA from 1 species